rnacentral:rRNA from 1 species
UACGUAGGGGGCUAGCGUUGUCCGGAAUCAUUGGGCGUAAAGAGCGUGUAGGCGGUCCGGUAAGUCCGCUGUGAAAGUCGGGGGGCUCAACCCUCGAAUGCCGGUGGAUACUGUCGGGCUAGAGUGCGGAAGAGGCGAGUGGAAUUCCUGGUGUAGCGGUGAAAUGCGCAGAUAUCAGGAAGAACACCAAUGGCGAAAGCAGCUCUCUGGGACGGUACUGACGCUGAGACGCGAAAGCGUGGGGAGCGAACAGG